rnacentral:rRNA from 1 species
GACACGGCCCAGACUCCUACGGGAGGCAGCAGUAGGGAAUUUUCGGCAAUGGGGGCAACCCUGACCGAGCAACGCCGCGUGAGUGAUGAAGGUCUUCGGAUUGUAAAGCUCUGUUGUAAGGGAAGAACGGCAUCUAGAGAAUAGGUGAGUGACGGUACCUUACCAGAAAGCUACGGCUAACUACGUGCCAGCAGCCGCGGUAAUACGUAGGUAGCGAGCGUUAUCCGGAAUUAUUGGGCGUAAAGGGUGCGUAGGCGGCCUGUUAAGUUUAUGGUGAAAGCGUGGGGCUCAACCCCAUAAAGCCAUAGAUACUGGCAGGCUAGAGUACUGGAGAGGGUAGUGGAAUUCCAUGUGUAGCGGUAAAAUGCGUAGAUAUAUGGAGGAACACCGGUGGCGAAGGCGGCUACCUAGACAGAGACUGACGCUGAGGCACGAAAGCGUGGGGAGCAAAUAGGAUUAGAUACCCUAGUAGUCCACGCUGUAAACGAUGAAUGCUAGGUAUCGGGGCGACCCGGUGCCGAAACUAACGCGAUAAGCAUUCCGCCUGUGGAGUAUGCACGCAAGUGUGAAACAUAAAGGAAUUGACGGGGGCCCGCACAAGCGGUGGAGUAUGUGGUUUAAUUCGACGCAACGCGAAGAACCUUACCAGGUCUUGACAUUGAUCGCAAUUCCAAGAAAUUGGAAGUUCCUCUUCGGAGGACGAGAAAACAGGUGGUGCACGGCUGUCGUCAGCUCGUGUCGUGAGAUGUUGGGUUAAGUCCCGCAACGAGCGCAA